GAAAUGCGAUAAUUAAUGUGAAUUGCAGAAUUCAGUGAAUCAUCGAGUCUUUGAACGCACAUUGCGCCCCCUGGUAUUCCGGGGGGCAUGCCUGUCCGAGCGUCAUUGCUGCCCUCAAGCACGGCUUGUGUGUUGGGCUUCCGUCCCUGGCAACGGGGACGGGCCCAAAAGGCAGUGGCGGCACCAUGUCUGGUCCUCGAGCGUAUGGGGCUUUGUCACCCGCUCUGUAGGCCCGGCCGGCGCUUGCCGAACGCAAAUCAAUCUUUUUCCAGGUUGACCUCGGAUCAGGUAGGGAUACCCGCUGAACUUAAGC
rnacentral:misc_RNA from 1 species